GCCAGGCAUGGUGGCGGGCGCCUGUAGUUCCAGCUACCUGGGAGGCUGAGGCAGGAGAAUGGCGUGAACCCAGGAGGUGGAGCUUGCAGUGAGCCGAGAUCAGGCCACUGCACUCUAGCCUGGGUGACAAAGCAAGUCUCCAUCCUCAAAAAAAAAAAAAAGAAAAGAAAAAAGACCUUAUUCUAGGAAACAAGAAAGACUCUAUGAAUGCUUAAGUUUUGUUUUUUUUUUUUUUUGGAGCGGAGUCUCGCUCUGUCGCCCAGGCUGGAGUGCAGUGGCCAGAUCUCAGCUCACUGCAAGCUCCGCCUCCUGGGUUUACGCCAUUCUCCUGUCUCAG
rnacentral:SRP_RNA from 1 species